rnacentral:misc_RNA from 1 species
UCUUGGGCAAGUCAAGAUUGGUGACUUGGGGCUUGCAGCUAUACUUCAUGGUUCCAGAUCUGCCCACAGUGUUAUAGGCACACCGGAGUUUAUGGCGCCGGAACUAUACGAGGAGAAUUACAACGAACUAGUUGAUGUCUACUCGUUUGGCAUGUGUGUUCUAGAGAUGCUUACUUCUGAGUACCCAUAUAGCGAGUGUUCUAAUCCUGCACAGAUUUACAAGAAAGUCACGUCGGGAAAGCUGCCAGCAGCAUUGUACAAGAUUCAAGAUAUGGAUGCGCAGAGAUUUGUUAAGAAAUGCUUGUUACCAGUUUCGAUGAGGGCGUCUGCAAAGGAACUCUUGUCCGAUCAUUUUCUCAAAGUUGAUGGAGAUAAACCUUCUUCGAAGGAGAGGACUCCCAACCAGAAGCCAUUUCUAAAUGCCAAAGAGAUGGAGAAAUUGCACUUGGGUGAAGGUUUAAGCAGGACCAACAUGACGAUCACGGGGAAGCUGAACCCCGAAGACAAUACCCUCUUUCUCAGAGUUCAGAUUGCCGAUAAAGAAGGCUCUCUUAGGAACAUAUACUUCCCCUUCGACAUAGUUAACGACACAGCAUUAGAUGUGGCAAUGGAGAUGGUGAAAGAGUUGGAGAUAUCUGAUUGGGAACCGUUCGAAAUAGCGGACAUGAUUGAAGGAGAGAUAUCGGCUCUAGUUCCGAACUGGAAUAGAAGUGAGUUAUCCAACCAUAACCUCAGCUUUAGCUAUGCAGAAGAAGAUGAUAAUUCAUCUCAUCAUACUUUUCGCUCAGUCUCCUCAUCGUCCCAAGCAACAACUUUGGGUCUUAUCACCUCCCCUAGAACAAACCAAAACAUUUCAAAUG